CGAACGCUUUGUCUUUAAUUGAUAUGAAGAGCUUGCUCUGAUUUGAUUCUAUCUGACAAAGAGUGGCGAACGGGUGAGUAACACGUGGGUAACCUACCUCUUAGCAGGGGAUAACAUUUGGAAACAAGUGCUAAUACCGUAUAAUACUAACAACCGCAUGGUUGUUAGUUGAAAGAUGGUUCUGCUAUCACUAAGAGAUGGACCCGCGGUGCAUUAGCUAGUUGGUAAGGUAAUGGCUUACCAAGGCGAUGAUGCGUAGCCGAGUUGAGAGACUGAUCGGCCACAAUGGGACUGAGACACGGCCCAUACUCCUACGGGAGGCAGCAGUAGGGAAUCUUCCACAAUGGGCGCAAGCCUGAUGGAGCAACGCCGCGUGUGUGGUGAAGGGUUUCGGCUCGUAAAACACUGUUAUAAGAGAAGAACGACAUUGAGAGUAACUGUUCAGUGUGUGACGGUAUCUUAUCAGAAAGGAACGGCUAAAUACGUGCCAGCAGCCGCGGUAAUACGUAUGUUCCAAGCGUUAUCCGGAUUUAUUGGGCGUAAAGCGAGCGCAGACGGUUAUUUAAGUCUGAAGUGAAAGCCCUCAGCUCAACUGAGGAAGGGCUUUGGAAACUGGAUAACUUGAGUGCAGUAGAGGAAAGUGGAACUCCAUGUGUAGCGGUGAAAUGCGUAGAUAUAUGGAAGAACACCGGUGGCGAAAGCGGCUUUCUGGACUGUAACUGACGUUGAGGCUCGAAAGUGUGGGUAGCAAACAGGAUUAGAUACCCUGGUAGUCCACACCGUAAACG
rnacentral:rRNA from 1 species